CCUACGAGAGGCUGCAGUGAGGAAUAUUGGUCAAUGGACGAGAGUCUGAACCAGCCAAGUAGCGUGAAGGAUGACUGCCCUAUGGGUUGUAAACUGCUUUGAUAUGGGAAUAAAAUGUUCCACGUGUGGGAUUUUGUAUGUACCAUAUGAAUAAGGAUCGGCUAACCCCGUGCUAGCAGCCGCGGGAAUAGGGAGGCUCCGAGCGUUAUCCGGAUUUAUUGGGGUUAAAGGGAGCGUAGGUGGAUUGUUAAGUCAGUUGUGAACGUUUGCGGCUCAAACGUAAAAUUGCAGUUGAAACUGGCAGUCUUGAGUACAGUAGAGGUGGGCGGAAUUCGUGGUGUAGCAGUGAAAUGCUUAGAUAUCACGAAGAACUCCGAUUGCGAAGGCAGUUCACUGGACUGCAACUGACACUGAGGCUCGAAAGUGUGGGUAUCAAACAGGAUUAGAUACCCUUGUAGUC
rnacentral:rRNA from 1 species